GACGAACGCUGGCGGCGUGCUUAACGCAUGCAAGUCGAACGGAAAGGCCCUGCUUUUGUGGGGUGCUCGAGUGGCGAACGGGUGAGUAACACGUGAGUAACCUGCCCUUGACUUUGGGAUAACUUCAGGAAACUGGGGCUAAUACCGGAUAGGAGCUCCUGCUGCAUGGUGGGGGUUGGAAAGUUUCGGCGGUUGGGGAUGGACUCGCGGCUUAUCAGCUUGUUGGUGGGGUAGUGGCUUACCAAGGCUUUGACGGGUAGCCGGCCUGAGAGGGUGACCGGCCACAUUGGGACUGAGAUACGGCCCAGACUCCUACGGGAGGCAGCAGUGGGGAAUAUUGCACAAUGGGCGGAAGCCUGAUGCAGCAACGCCGCGUGCGGGAUGACAGCCUUCGGGUUGUAAACCGCUUUCGCCUGUGACGAAGCGUGAGUGGCGGUAAUGGGUAAAGAAGCACCGGCUAACUACGUG
rnacentral:rRNA from 1 species